CGGCAGGGGAAAGGAAGGCGGCGGCAGCAGGUCAGCCGCAGAUUUACCAUGUCGACAGCAAGUUUGGCCCAUUUACGCUUGUAUCACUAAUUGAUUGGUGUGGAGUGGGGGCGCAGAACGUUCAGAAUCUGCAGCCAAUGAUUCUGGGUCGCUGAACGCUUUAAUGAGUGAUAUAGUUGAGGAUAUAAGCCAUCAGCUGCAUGCUGGAAUAAUGAAAUCAGCCCGCAAAGUUUUUAUUGAUGAAAUAUUUAGCAGUGCACUUCCUGAAAUUAUUUCAUGCAGGAAAACCGAGAAGCAAAUGGCUGCAAAACUUAAGAGCCGAGCUGCUAAGGUUGAUGCUACUAAGCGUGGUGGGCUAGCAAGACUCAUCAACCAUUCUUGCGAUCCAAAUUGCUAUACAAAAGUAAUUACUGUCGAGGGCCAGAAGAAGAUUUUCAUUUAUGCAAAGAGGCGUAUAUAUGCUGGCGAGGAAUUGACUUAUAAUUAUAAAUUUCCACUGGAGGAAAAGAAGAUCCCAUGCCACUGCGGUUCCCAGAGGUGCCGUGGAUCAAUGAAUUAGGAAGUAUAUCAUUCAGGUAUGGGGUCGUGGAACAAACUGUACUGCAAGAUUACAAGUUGCAGAACCUUCUUGUGCAGAAGAAUCAGAACACAUUAUUCAGUUCAUACAGAGGAAGGUACAAGCGCUUUAAGUGUGGGCUUUAAGGUACAACUGACUUAUCAGCCUGCUGUUUCAGCACCCUACAUCAGUUGAACAUCAGUACAUCGAGCUGCUGCUUUCGCCGUGAAGCUGAUCGGCUGCCAUGCUCAUUAAGUCACAUAUGUUUUGCUUUCCAAACUAGUCAUCAUGCACGGCAGCAGUUGGCUUUGAGGUGCUCUGUCGAGUUCCUGCAAAAUUCUUUGAACAUUGGGAGGAAUGGGCAUACAAUGUUGGUUCUGACGUGAACAAUGAGCUCAGUUUUGGGUGAAAACAUUUUCCAGUCUUUGAUACAUGACGACGGCGUCUUUUAGCGUCGUAACCCUUGUGAGAGCGUCGUUUUAGAGUCUUCUUGUCAUAGUGGUGUCGUUAGCUCGGUGGCGAUCGGUUUCGUAUAGCGAUGGUCGGUUCGUUGCUUGGCUUUUCUCUGUAUGGUGUAUGUUUGGACAGUUGGCACAUGGUUUGAGCCGUGCGCUCUGGUGCACGUCCUUCUUCCUCGAUAGCUAGCUGUCGAUGUAAAUCUUUUCUUAUAAUUUUUUCUUUCUAUCUUAAUUAAAUGACCUCCUUCGGUCAUUCCGACAAAACAAUGUUCUGACGUGAACAAUGAGCUCAGCUAAUUAUGUAACCGAGCCGUCUUUGUAAAUUGUUCAGUGCUCGCUUCCUCCAAUA